AGGGAUCUGCCUCAAUGUGGGGAGAUGCCUGAGAUUGGGUGAAGAAGCACAUUUGCCUGUAUAUAUGACCAAUAUUCUCCAAUUUCAGCUUUUUUAGUAAAUAAAGGUAUAUGAAGCAAGAAGCUCAUAGCUGGACCAAUACAAACGUUUUCUCACAUCAUCUUUUGAUGCAAGGAUUACCAUUUCAUCCAGAUUCUAGACUUUGAUGGAUUCUUUGACUUUGGGUUGCCUUCCUAGGGAAAGAGUAUAAAUUUACCUUGAAUUGGUCUGGAGCCAGAAUUUCUGACAGGUGGAGUCAAGCAACUAAUGAAGUUAGUGUUUCAGCUGCAUUUGCUGCUCAGGAUAUAACCCCAUUAAGUUGGGAGUUGACCUGGUACAACAAUAACUUCUAAGAUUAAGUGCCCUCUGCUACAUUAAUGCCACAACUUCUGUUUGAACACCUUUAUGACAGAAGCUCAUUAGCUUCUGGACAUCUAAUUUUAUCUUUGGAGAGUCCUCUAGAAGAUGCUUUUCUUUUGGGACAGUUUCAAAAUGGAUUUUGCCACCAGAAAACAACAACAACAGCAACAACAACAACAACAACAA